UACGUAGGGGGCAAGCGUUGUCCGGAUUUAUUGGGCGUAAAGAGCGUGUAGGCGGCCAGAUAGGUCCGUUGUGAAAACUCGAGGCUCAACCUCGAGACGCCGAUGGAAACCAUUUGGCUAGAGUCCGGAAGAGGCGAGUGGAAUUCCCGGUGUAGCGGUGAAAUGCGCAGAUAUCGGGAGGAACACCAAUGGCGAAGGCAGCUCGCUGGGACGUUACUGACGCUGAGGCGCGAAAGCGUGGGGAGCAAACAGG
rnacentral:rRNA from 1 species